rnacentral:ncRNA from 1 species
UCCCCGGGACGGCCCGGCGGAGCCAGUGUCCAGGCGGGACGGCCCGC